rnacentral:rRNA from 1 species
AUGUCCAAUAGCUCUCUUGAUGUCCAUUUAUUUCGAAACAAUCCGAUGAUAUUGAGGUGGACUACUAGAUAUCAGAUAGCCCUGGGGGUUGCUCGAGGUUUAGCCUACUUGCAUGACAGAUGUCGGGACUGCAUCAUACACUGCGAUAUUAAGCCAGAAAACAUACUUCUUGAUGAUUCUUUCAUUCCCAAAGUUGCAGACUUUGGGAUGGCAAAGCUUUUGGGAAGGGAAUUCAGCCGAGUACUGACUACAAUGAGAGGAACUGCAGGGUACCUUGCACCUGAAUGGAUCAGUGGUGUUGCUGUUACACCAAAAGUCGAUGUGUAUAGCUAUGGGAUGAUGUUGCUGGAAAUUAUAUCUGGAAAAAGGAACUCAAGUGCAUCAUGUUCUAGUGGUGGCGAGCUUGAUGUUUAUUUCCCUGUUCAUGCCGCACACAAGCUUCUUGAAGGAGACGUUGGGAGUUUGGUCGAUCAAAGGCUAUGUGGUGACGUCAAUCUGGAUGAGGCUGAACUAGCUUGCAAGGCUGCAUGUUGGUGCAUCCAAGACCAUGAGCUUGAUCGACCAACGAUGGGACAGGUAGUUCAGAUUCUCGAAGGGCUGGUUGAGAUCAGGAUUCCCCCGGUGCCAAGUGUGCUCGAAGCUAUGGCU